rnacentral:lncRNA from 1 species
GCAAAGGGGCUUUAUUUUUGUGUGUCCAAUUCGUGCACUGCAGCACAAUGGCUCUCAAUCGCAUCAGGGGGUUUUUCGGAAGGUUUCGCUGCUCUAGCGCUGAACAAAUUCAGAGGGGGGAAAAAGAGCGACGGGCCUCCCUCCCCCAUUAAUUAUUUGUGGGGCUGGAGUAAGACGGGCUGGUGCAACCGGUGCAUAUAAGGACUUAUGUGCAGGGAAGGGGAUCCGCCUCCAGGCGUGGAACGAAUGGGGGAGAAGCGCACUCUGCACUCCAGAGGUUUGCUUCGGCGGCGGGGUCCGUCCGCCAGCGACCCCCGGGAUCCCGGAAGGCGGGUGUCGCGGGCGGGUCGCUUGCCGGUCGGGGGCUGGGAAGGUUUGCCAGAAGCGGGAAGACGGAGAUCUGAGUUCCCGGUUGGCAUCGCCACACCCAGGACCUGCCCGUACUGCAAUUCCCCACGGAAACGACCGAAUUGAAACGAGAAGCUUUUUCUCUGGGUGCAAGAGCUUGAGUGCUUCAGAUGAACCACUCUAUGGACAAACCAAAAAUGGCACCAAGAGCUGUGGGAAAAGAAGCAUUCCAUUUUCCAUUCUGGAUUUGGUAUCACCUCCUGUCUUCCUAGAUUCUCCGCUGGGACGCUUCACAAUGUGAGGGUUUUUUUUUUUUCUCCCCUUUUCCUUUCUUUUUCUUUUUUCCAUUUUUCAACUUUUAAUUCUGAAGUAAUUUUUGACUUGCAAAAAAAGAAAAACAGUAGAAAGAAUUCCCGAAUACCUAUCACAUAGUUUCCCAAAAUGUUACCAUUUUUUACGCAGUUUUCACAGUGAAAAGAUCACAAUCAGAAAGUU